GCGGGAAUAGCUCAGUGGUAGAGCACAACCUUGCCAAGGUUGGGGUCGAGAGUUCGAACCUCUUUUCCCGCUCCA
rnacentral:tRNA from 1 species